GGUUACAAGAAUCUAAAGCUAAUACAUACACUUUUUUUUCGUUUUAAAGAUACAUAUCACAGUUUUUACAAAAUAUAAUCAUGGAGAAUUAAGCCGUUCUGAAUGUCUGAAAAAACAAACUAAGAUCCUGUGUGUGUGUGUGUGUAUCCUGUGUGUGUGUGUGUAGAUCCUGUGUGUGUGUGUAGUUCCUGUGUGUGUGUGUAGAUCCUGUGUGUGUGUGUGUGCAGAUCCUGUGUGUGUGUGUGUAGAUCCUGUGUGUGUGUGUGUAGAUCCUGUGUGUGUGUGUGUAGAUCCUGUGUGUGUAGUUCCUGUGUGUGUAGUUCCUGUGUGUGUGUGUAGAUCCUGUGUGUGUGUGUG
rnacentral:lncRNA from 1 species